rnacentral:rRNA from 1 species
CGAAAAAUAACGAUACGGGACUCAUCCGAGGCCCCGUAAUCGGAAUGAGUACACUCUAAACCCUUUAACGAGGAUCAAUUGGAGGGCAAGUCUGGUGCCAGCAGCCGCGGUAAUUCCAGCUCCAAUAGCGUAUAUUAAAGUUGUUGCGGUUAAAAAGCUCGUAGUCGAAUUUGUGUCCCGCGCCGCCGGUUCAUCGCUCGCGGUGUCAACUGGCGUGUCCGCGGGACGUCCUGCCGGUGGGCUUAGCCUCUCGGGGCGGCCCAAUCUCAAUCCCACCGCGGUGCUCUUCACUGAGUGUCGAGGUGGGCCGGCACGUUUACUUUGAACAAAUUAGAGUGCUUAAAGCAGGCUAAAAUUUCGCCUGAAUACUGUGUGCAUGGAAUAAUGGAAUAGGACCUCGGUUCUAUUUUGUUGGUUUUCGGAACCCCGAGGUAAUGAUUAAUAGGAACGGAUGGGGGCAUUCGUAUUGCGACGUUAGAGGUGAAAUUCUUGGAUCGUCGCAAGACGGACAGAAGCGAAAGCAUUUGCCAAAAACGCUUUCAUUGAUCAAGAACGAAAGUUAGAGGUUCGAAGGCGAUCAGAUACCGCCCUAGUUCUAACCAUAAACGAUGCCAGCUAGCGAUCCGCCGACGUUCCUCCGAUGACUCGGCGGGCAGCUUCCGGGAAACCAAAGCUUUUGGGUUCCGGGGGAAGUAUGGUUGCAAAGCUGAAACUUAAAGGAAUUGACGGAAGGGCACCACCAGGAGUGGAGCCUGCGGCUUAAUUUGACUCAACACGGGAAACCUCACCAGGCCCGGACACCGGAAGGAUUGACAGAUUGAGAG